UACGGAGGGGGCUAGCGUUUGUUCGGAAUUACUGGGCGUAAAGCGCACGUAGGCGGCUUUGUAAAGUUAGGAGGUGAAAGCCCGGGGCUCAACUCCGGAAUUGCCUUUAAGACUGCAUCGCUCGAAUUGUGGAGAGGUAAGUGGAAUUCCGAAGUGUAGAGGUGAAAUUCGUAGAUAUUCGGAAGAGCACCAGUGGCGAAGGCGACUUACUGGACAC
rnacentral:rRNA from 1 species